GAUGAACGCUGGCGGCGUGCCUAAUACAUGCAAGUCGAGCGAACAGACGCGGCUCUUGCUCGUCUGACGUUAGCGGCGGAGGGGUGUGUCACACGUGUAUAAUCUCCCUAUCUGACUGGUAUAACUUCGGGACACCGGCGCUUAUACCGGAUAAUCUAUUGAACCGUAUGGUUCAAUAGUGAAAGUCGGUUUUGGUGUCUCUUAUCGCUGCUUAUGGGCCGGAGGAGGUAGUUGGUGAGGUAACGGCAUACCACGGCUACGAUGCGUAGCCGACGGGAGAGGGGGGUAGGCGACACGAGAACGGGGACAGGGACCAUAGGCCUGCGGGAGGCAGCAGUAGGGAAUGUGCCGCAGUGGGCGAAAGCCUGACGGAGUAACGCCGCGUGAGUGAUGAAAGUCUUCGGAUCGUAAAACUCGGUUAUGAGGGAAGAACAAAUGUGUAAGUAACUAUGCACGUCUUGACGGUACCUAAUCAGAAAGCCACGGCUAACUACGUG
rnacentral:rRNA from 1 species